rnacentral:rRNA from 1 species
UACGUAGGAGGCGAGCGUUGCCCGGAGUUACUGGGCGUAAAGCGCAUGCAGGCGGUCAGCUCAGUCUGUGAUGACAGUUCCCGGCUCAACUGGGAAAGUGUUACGGAUACUGGUUGACUUGAGGGCUUCAGAGGGAUGUGGAACUCCGGGUGGAGUGGUGAAAUGCGUAGAUAUCGGGAAGAACACCGAAGGCGAAAGCACUCUGCUGGGCCGAAACUGACACUGAUAGACGAAAGCUAGGGGAGCAAAUGGG